rnacentral:rRNA from 1 species
UACGAGGGGGGCGAGCGUUGUUCGGAAUUAUUGGGCGUAAAGGGGGCGUAGGCGGUUUGGUAAGUCUUGUGUGAAAUCUACAGGCUCAACUUGUAGUCUGCACGAGAAACUGCCGGGCUUGAGUAUGGGAGAGGUGAGUGGAAUUCCUGGUGUAGCGGUGAAAUGCGUAGAUAUCAGGAGGAACACCUGUGGCGAAAGCGGCUCACUGGACCAUAACUGACGCUGAUGCACGAAAGCUAGGGGAGCAAACAGG